rnacentral:rRNA from 1 species
UGACGUUGGCUACUAUGCCAGCUGGUGGAUUGCUCGGCUCGAGAGCUGAAGAAGGACGUGCCAAGCUGCGAUAAGCCUGAGGGAGCCGCACGGAGGCUUAGAACUCAGGAUUUCCCAAUGAGAAUCUCUUCAACAAUUGCUUCGCGCAAUGAGGAACCCCGAGAAUUGAAACAUCUUAGUAUCGGGAGGACAAGAAAACGCAACGUGAUGUCGUCAGUAACCGCGAGUGAACGCGAUACAGCCCAAACCGAAGGUCUCACGACCAAUGUGGUGUUUGGACUGACUCUCAUCGCUUGACCAUCUCACAGAAGUCCCUUGGAACAGGGCGUGACACAGGGUGACAACCCCGUACGUGAGGUCAGUACAGCGUGCGUCAGUUCCGGAGUAGCGGGGGUUGGAAAUCCCUCGCGAACAUGGCAGGCAUCGACUGCUAAGGCUAAACACUCCUCGAGACCGAUAGUGCACAAGUAGUGUGAACGAACGCUGCAAAGUACCCUCAGACGGGAGGUGAAAUAGAGCAUGAACUCAGUUGGCGAUGGAGCGAUAGGGCAUACAAGGUCCCCUGACGAAUGACCGACGCGCGAGCGUCCAGUAAGACUCACGGGAAGCCGAUGUUCUAUCGUACGUUUUGAAAAACGAGCCAGGGAGUGUGUCUGUAUGGCAAGUCUAACCCGAGCAUCGGGGGAGGCA